CCUUCUCCUAUCGAUUUUCCACCACCAUUGAUUUCUCCUUCUCUCAUCGAUUUUUCACCACCAUCUCCACUGCACUGCUGUUCCACCAUCUCCAUUACACUGUUGUUCAUCAAUUUUCCCCUUCUGUUCCUCUGCCACAGCCACAGCCACUCAAAUCUGCUUGGUUUGUACUUGAUAGAGCAGGUCUUGAAGGUCUGUAGCUUGAACAAACACCUGCUGCCACUUGAACAAAAAAUUAGAUUUUAUCCUGACAUUAAAGUUGAAGGAAAAUAGCUAUAGUGGCGGUAAGAUUCGUGGAUGCUUGGGGAAUAUGUAUCGGUGAUGAACGAAUUCAAGGAGUCGAGAGUUCGAUUUUCGAGGAUGUAGUCUUGUUUUAUGGUUUUACAUGUAUUUUCCGCACUUGCUAUGUAACUCCUUUUAUUUUAAAUUAUGUUUUGUUUUUAAGACAAUGGGAUCCC